AAAAAAAAAGAAAGGAAAAGGUCGAACAAGGUACACUUUAGGUACACUUUCUAGAAAGAUACUUUUCAUACCGCCCUCGCUAGCAUAGCUCGAAGAAAUUGGUGGAAUGCAGGAGAUCCAGAAGAUCAUCCGAUUGCACAGUUAUGUUAAAGCUUAAAGCUCAGCUUAGGCAUGCAAUAGGUACAGGCGAAUAGACUUUAUUCAUGUGAAAUCAUUCCCCUGCAUAGUUUCACUUACGGCACACGUAUAUAUAGAUUUUCGUGAUUUUUGCAAUCGCAGAGUGAAUGGUGAAGACACGUGGAGUUACAUAACUUCCAAUUUUUCACUAUUAUCUAAUCAUCCGCUGUUUAUAUGGAUUAAUAAAUCCGAAGAGUGGCGUUAGCUGAACUACCCGAGGGAAAAGUGAAAAUAAAGUGAAAUUCUUGAAAGAAGCAAAGGGAUAGGAGUACUGGAAAAUCUUAAUACAGCCAAGCCGGCCAACCAAUCUACGGUAUCAACUACUAAAACAACCAAGCUGACCGUUUGGGAGUUAGUGCAGUGCACAUCCACGGCGGCAAAGUGAAGGCUGAACCGUUGGCGUUGGGCUAGCUCAAUAUCGGAAAUCAUUUACGGCUCGUGAAAGACCAACCACCAUACACCACUGCUGGACGUCCGAAUUUCAGUUUGAACCUGCCGAUCUCAUAAAAAAAGCCGGAGGACAUAAUCGUCACCAACCUACGAAAACUUACAAAGGAUUGAUGCAUACAAAUGAAUCCGUCAAAGUCAUCUUGGGCCCAACGAUACACCGAUGAGUUUAACCAAUUACUGUGAGUACCACUAGUGGCUGAAACCACAAUGUCUAUACACCAAUGCAGGCGUAAGUUUGUUGAAGUAGAUAUAUAUAUACUGAUUUGAAAGAAUAUUACCCCCCUCAAAUGCUCAAAUAAUUAAGUUUUUUUUGCUGAUCCAAGAAGAAGGAAGUCUGUAUAUUUUUGUUUAUUUGUAAAUGUAAGGAAUCGGAUUAUAUCUGUAAUUAAUGUAAAAAAA